CGUAGCCCCUUUGUUUUCCUAACAGACUCUUGGUCCAAAUAGUAUCUUCAUCCAGUGAAAAGAUUGGCUACUCCUUCCUAUUCUGAGCCAGUUUUGGCAUUUUAUUAUGUCUGCUUCUCUUUAAUGCUUUACUCCACUUGCUGCUUCUAGUAUGUCUAUAACUAGCCCUUCAUGAUUUAGAAGGUGUCCUACUAUCCUAUCUUGUUGUUUAUUUAUUUCCGUAGCCCCUUUGUUUUCCUAACAGACUCUUGGUCCAAAUAGUAUCUUCAUCCAGUGAAAAGAUUGGCUACUCCUUCCUAUUCUGAGCCAGUUUUGGCAUUUUAUUAUGUCUGCUUCUCGUUAAUGUUUUACUCCUAUUGAGGCUUCUAAUAUAUCUCUUACUAGCUCUUCAUGCCCUGGAAAGUGUUCUAGUUUCCUAUCUUGUUGUUUUUUUAUUUAUUUACUCCAAAUAUACGCGAGCACAGAAGUGAUUUUUUUCAACUCUAAUCUUAGCUUCACCUUUCUCACAUACCAACAUUGAGGAUGAUCAUUUGAAGGAUGUCCCUCCUCAGAACAAUGGGACACGUACAAACUGUAAAUAUAAUUUUUAUUUUAGUUAUUGCAUCAUGAAUCCUGGCUUACUGAAAGUAUACGUCAAUAAAAACUCCCUUAUGUCAAAUGAUGUUGGAAAACGAGAAAUAUAAUAAAUAUUAAGUGUCAUGGAACAAUUAAUCUAUCUGUCUAUCUGUAAAUCCCAUCCCCACAACCUACAGUAAAAAAAAUAAUAAAAACAAAAAAAGUUAUUAAAUGUAAUAGUGUUGGGAUCGAUGUAACUGGUAAAAUAAUUUUUAGUUAUCUUUAAUACAAGUACAAAUACGUAUAUUAGUUGAUAAGAUUUAUUUUUGGGACAAGUAUACUACGGUCUAAUGAUCAUAAAUAUUGCCAUACAAAA